rnacentral:misc_RNA from 1 species
GUGAAUCAUCGAAUUUUUGAACGCAAAUUGCACUCUCUUCGGAGAGUAUGCCUGUUUGAGGGUCAGCCUAAAAAAAAUCGACAUAGUUGCUGUUUUGGCGGUGCAUUUCGUGGGAAUUUGGUUAAUCUUAAACUUUUGGGUUUUAGGCGGCUUAAAUUUUUCUUUACGAUUCAACGAACGUUUUUAAGUUAUUUUCUUUUUACGCUU